rnacentral:sRNA from 1 species
AAACAACUCUGUGUGGUAGUGUGUGUGAGGUGGGUGUAUGUGUUUACUUACCUACCCUUGUUCUCAUUUCACUUGUCAUUACUUUUUGCUGCACCAUAAAAAAUGAAAUUAAAAAUUACCAAGGGCCCUAACUGCUGACUGUAUUUUGACGGUCUUUGAGUUCCGUUUUGUCUGCCUGCACAUAAGAAAAAAAAGGGACCGAAUAAAUAGCACUUUGAGGUUAGAGAGUUGUCAGACUUGAAAGUGCACACCCACUUUUAUUGGUUAGCUUUGGUUCCCUUUGUAUACAUCGAACUAUUUGUCAUAGGUUGAACAAAACGGGUGCAAUGAUUGCGGAUUGAAUGGAACAUUUGAACUAUCCUUCAUUUCUGAUCAUAAACCUUUCAUUUGAGUUUCUGCUAAAUGGUGGAAGUGAAAUAUCUAAAGUGAAAUGCUAGAAAUAUCUUGUGUGACUUUAAAUCAGAUGGAGGAUUAAGUCAAAUGGUUUGUGCUGUGAAUCUCGACAUGUUCAACCACUGGGUUCCAGUUUGUAUGUUGAAAAGUUGAAGCUUAUAUGUAAAUGUCGUCCCGAUUAAAUUACUCCAGAGCUUCAGAGGUGGAGAAAGCAGAGAUAAGUCUGGAGGUUACAAAAAGAAAUCUAGAAUCAUGUCAAAUAGAUCUGAAGAUGAAAGAGAGACAACUGGAGAAAGAAAAAGAAAAAUACGAGAAGAAAUGUUCGGAGCUUACAGUGAGUAGAGAGUUAAACUUUUUACUAAACGAUUGAGUGAAUAACUCAAUGCUUGGCUCACUCAUGCAGUAUGAAACCAGUAUAAAGAGUCACCAGGGGCGGACUGGCUAUAUGGGCAAACGGGCAAAUGCCCGGUGGGCCUGCGCCGAAUGGGCCGGUCUUGUCACGACCAAAGAAUUA